rnacentral:rRNA from 1 species
GACGAACCGUGCGAACGUUGUUCGGAAUCACUGGGCUUAAAGGGCGCGUAGGCGGACCACCAAGUCCGGGGUGAAAUCCUCCGGCUUAACCGGAGAAUUGCCUGGGAUACUGGUGGUCUUGAGGGAGGUAGGGGCACGCGGAACUUCCGGUGGAGCGGUGAAAUGCGUUGAUAUCGGAAGGAACGCCGGUGGCGAAAGCGGCGUGCUGGCCCUCUCCUGACGCUGAGGCGCGAAAGCCAGGGGAGCGAACGGG